AUGAGGCUUAAGUGAGCUCUUUUUUUUCGGUUGUCUUUGCGGUAACGCCCUUUGCUCCAAGAUGAUACCAUACACGUAUGUUUUGGGGGAGCAAGUUGGCACCUAGACAUCAGGUGUAACAGUGCACAUUCUUGAAAAAGAUGCGGAAAGCUAAGAGGGGCGGUGCUGAUCUCACUAAACGCAUUCGUAAGAAUAGAAGAGUUUGCAAGAAUGAUCUCCCCUCCUUAGCUGCCGCCGUCACCCCUCUCCUGCUCUCUUCUUCCACCACAAGCCACCAGAGCUGAAGCUCCUCUUUCUCUUCUCCUUGCUUCUCCUCCCAUGAACAAGAGGCAUGCUGUUGCAGCUUAUCCGCUUCCCUUCCUUCCAAUCAGCGCAGACCAAGCACAUGCCGUACCAAUGAUCAAGCAGCAACCGCAAACCACAUCUUACUCCCUCCGCCCCCUAACGUAAAGCACAAGAAAACCCCAAUGCGAUCGGAUCCUCCUGCUGCUAUUGGCCAAAUCCCAAGCCAUGGCCCACAACUUUUCUCCCCAAGACUUGAAUCAGCCACCACCAAGCAAUUCUACUCCUCGUCUCUUCCUAAUCAACCCAACCAGAGCAACAACAACCACAGCAGAGCAAGUUCGAUCCCUCCCUACUCUCUCCAUUCUUGCCUCCAACGAGAGCAGGGCACGCACAUCAGCAGCACGCCACGGCCAUGCUGCUAGGACGCGAGCUCCCAGCUGCGGUGAGGCACCAACGCCUCAAGGUGAUAUCUUUCACCCGAGAAAGUUCCGGCACAAAUCUGAAAGUCGAUUGAUGGUAUGAUGAAUAGAAGAAGGUGCUGCCCUGAACAUUCUCCCAUGACAAACUACUUACAAGUCAACGACGUCUUCAACAUAUUUGUAGAGAAGAAUUUUCAGUUUGUUGAACGUCAGGGCGUCCUUUCACCAUCUGUACGUGCACAAGACGUACCAAACGCCCAACUUGCUCUCAAUGGGUCAUCAGUACACUAAGAAGUAGCAGAUACACCACAGGUCCUACUGUCAAUGCUAGAAGUGUGUGAUCUCUGGUAAAGUUCUAUUAUUUGGAGUGAAGUUUAAUUUGUGUUUGA